AUGAUACAAGCACCGAGUCACUCCCAUCUGCAUCUUCUGUGUCUUCUGCACCAUCUACAUCUGGAGAAAGCUCAUCAGCUGCAGGCAUUACAGAGACCACUGGAAGAAGCACAACAGCCACCAAGUCCUCUGGAACUACAUCUGCCAAGAGCAGGAAAAGGAAGACCAAGAUGGAAGCAACACAGGAAAUCUUCACUGAAAAGAUCAGCAGUGCCCUCAACAACACAGACGACACUGAGCUUCAAUUGAAAAUGCAAGCAGCACAGCAUGAACAUGAGCUCAAAAUGCUCUCAAUGUUCACACAGUUUCUUGCCAGGUCAAAUUCCCCAUGUCCACCUUUCUACCAGGCACCAGUCCAGCCCUCACAGUACAACCCAACUGCCGCCUCAGCCGACCUUUUACAACUUUACUCAGCCUCCUAAAUUUAGCACGGGUUCACCUCAGCCUCCACCAUGUAACGAGACAACCAACCAGCCUCUAUCUUUCCUGCAAGAUCUGGCUCAACCUCUACCUUUCAACCAUCCCCCUGCACAUCCUCCAGAUCUACCUCAGCCCUUCAGCCAGGUGUCAGCACACCCUCAAGGUCCAGCUCAGCAGCCCUUCAGCCAGGACUCAGGACAUCCACCAUUCUACCGACCUCCAGAACAUCCUGUUGUCCUAAAGAGUAGAUUGACCAGGUCCCUCAUAGGCCUCACCAUGCUUCUCGCACACAUUGUGGAGAGUGCAGCAUGCACUUAUGAUGGUAGGGACAGUGGAGAUGUCCACAUCCAGCCGUUUCCCCAGGCAUCUCCACCGCCCCUUCAAUUGGCCGAAUGCACAUUCCACUGUCACCCUGGCUUUGCUGUGUCGCUCGUUAAAGUACCUUUGCUGCUCUGUCAGGUUCCCUGUGUCAGUGUACCCUUUAAGCAGCCAGAUCCACAUGGGGUACGCCGGGUCACCAAGCAGCACACGGAGGACUUGGCAAUGCCAAACAGGUUACCCAGCGUGCGGUAA
rnacentral:lncRNA from 1 species